rnacentral:rRNA from 1 species
GGGGAAUCUUCCGCAAUGGGCGCAAGCCUGACGGAGCAACGCCGCGUGAGGGAGGAAUGUCUGUGGAUUGUAAACCUCUUUUCUCUGGGAAGAAGUACUGACGGUACCAGAGGAAUCAGCAUCGGCUAACUCCGUGCCAGCAGCCGCGGUAAGACGGAGGAUGCAAGCGUUAUCCGGAAUUAUUGGGCGUAAAGCGUCCGUAGGCGGUUAGAUAAGUCAGUUGUUAAAGACUGCAGCUCAACUGUGGGGGAGCAACUGAAACUGUUUGACUAGAGUAUGGUAGGGGUAGAGGGAAUUCCUAGUGUAGCGGUGAAAUGCGUAGAUAUUAGGAAGAACACCAGUGGCGAAGGCGCUCUACUGGGCCAAGACUGACGCUGAUGGACGAAAGCUAGGGGAGCGAAAGGGAUUAGAUACCCCAGUAGUC